GGGCCCGUAGCUCAGCUAGGUUAGAGCGGCGGACCAGUUUAAUACUGGGUCGAUGCUCCAGACCCGUAGGUCGGGGGUUCAAGUCCCCUCGGGCCCA
rnacentral:tRNA from 1 species